GACGUAGGGUGCGAGCGUUGUCCGGAAUUAUUGGGCGUAAAGGGCUCGUAGGCGGUUUGUCGCGUCGGGAGUGAAAACCAUGAGCUUAACUCAUGGCUUGCUUUCGAUACGGGCAGACUAGAGGUAUGCAGGGGAGAACGGAAUUCCUGGUGUAGCGGUGAAAUGCGCAGAUAUCAGGAGGAACACCGGUGGCGAAGGCGGUUCUCUGGGCAUUACCUGACGCUGAGGAGCGAAAGUGUGGGGAGCGAACAGG
rnacentral:rRNA from 1 species